ensembl:lncRNA
GAUGGGUGCACCAUCCUUGGAGACACCAAGGUCAGGCUGGAGUUGACCUGAUGGGGGUGAAGGUGUCCCUGUUGAUUGCCUGGCCAUGUGCUGGCCAUUGCCUGUGAGCACAGGCUGGCAGCAAGGUUGUCCUUUGUGGGGUGUAGCGGUAAAGCAGAUGUAUCAUCUUUUAGGACCAGAGAGGGAGGGCCAAAUGCAGAAAACACAGUACAAAGCCUCAUAAAUCCCACCUGAGAACAGGAAUCAUCACACUUGUUUCCAUUCCCCAAAAUUCAUCACCCCACGCCUUGAGGUGGUGAGAGAGGGGGCCGGAUCCUGGAUUUAUAUAGAUUUGAUAAAGGCGGUUUUGCAGCUAUCAGGCUUGCAAGUGCAGGAUGGAGAUGUUGAUGCGUUACGACGCAAAGCAUUGCCAGAACUCGCGUAUCUGGUUUGUUUUCCUCCUUAAAAUCCAGGUACGGCGUGGAUGCGCCUCACCAAGUUCUGCACAGCCAGACAGUUUCCGUUUGAAGACGUAUCAGAAAAGCUGGCAAUCUCGAAGAGUUCCCAUUAAAACUUUAUGAUGAGAGAUGGAACGCAAACCAUCGCGGAAUAUUCAGGGCAUAAAAACUAACCCUGUGUGAAAUCCCCCACCGGUCCCUCCAGGAGGACGUGUACUUCCAGAGGAGGAGGCAGCAGUUUAUGCUCCGUUUUAAGACUCCUUGAGCACCAGCAUGGCAGAACGAGCCGCCUGUGUAACAGAUCCUCGUGGGACGUGUGGUGGGAAGAAAUACGAGGUUUUCUUGGAGGCAUUUGAAGUCUGAUCUUGCUCCCUGGGGCUCGGUGGGAAAGCUGUUAGCGUGCACGGCGCAGGCUUGAGCGUGAUGAGAGCUGAAGGGUGCAGGAGGGCUGCGUGGUGGACGUAUGUGUGCAUCUGCUCUUGGAACCCAGGUUGCCUCGGAUGUUUAUGAGGGUGGAUAGUGAUAGGGCAAAGGGGAAUGGUUUUAAACUGAGACAGGGGAGGUUUAGGUUGGAUAUUAGGAGGAAGUUUUUCACCCAGAGGGUGGUGAUGCACUGAACAGGUUGCCCAAGGAGGCUGUGGAUGCCCCAUCCCUGCAGGCAUUCAAGGCCAGGCUGGAUGUGGCUCUGGGCAGCCUGGUCUGCUGGUUGGCGACCCUGCACAUAGCAGGGCAUUGAAACCAGAUGAUCAUUGUGGUCCUUUUCAACCCAGGCCAUUCUGUGAUUCUAUAUGAUUCUAUGAUGGUGACCCCACUACCUCCCUGGGCAGCCUCUGCCAGCGUCUCACUGCUCUUUCAGAGAAGUUUUCCUAAUAUCCAACCUGAAUGGUGCAACCCUUCUUCUUCCCAACACUGAGACUCCUUCCUGCCUCCUCAGGC